UUAAUUUACCCUUAUAAGCAAUGCUCUAUGUAUAACAAAUGUGAGCAGACGUAUUUCGUAUUUUGUUUCUAAAAUUGCUCGUGAAAUUUUCAAGGUGAAUGCCAUUACCAAAAGGAAAUAAUAAGACCAGUUUCACAUUAGUCAGAAUAAUCAGUUAUCAGGUGAAAGUGUCGUCACUCACAGAACAAUCAUUUUACUUUAUGCAGUUUAAUAUUUGCGUUGUAAUCGAACCGUUCAUUUUCACCAUCAGUUUUGUAGUUUCGUGCCUUUAAAAAUGAAGAAAAUUAUCCAGGAUUAAUGGAAUGGCGUAAGAAGCAAUAGAGGAAUUCGAUCAAAUGAACUACAAUAUCGCUAAGUUUUUUGAGUGAAUUAUUUUUGAAAGAACUGUCAAUUGAGUAUAAAGUGGUACAUAUUUCUCCCUUUAGAUUAUUGAAAUGGCAUAAGAAACAAUGAAAGAACCCAGCCAAGUGGAUGAAAAGAUAGGGGACACUUUUUUAUUAAUGAUUUUUUUGAAAACUGUCAAUUGAUCGUAAAGUAUUACUCAUUUCUACCUUAGAUUAAUGAAAUGGCAUAACAAACAAUGUGUGAGGUGUCAAUUGAUUCUAAAGUAAUACACGUUUCUCCUUUCAAAUUAAUGGAAUGGUGUAAGCAGCAGCGGAAAACUCAGGCCAUACGUGGGCGGAAUCGAGGGGAAUGGCAUAAGAAACAACGGAGAAAGUCAACCAAGUGAACGGGAA